UGGAAUGCUCCUUCUGUGACUGUGUUUUAUGCUCUGGUGAUGAGUGUUCUGAAAUGCCCUCCUCCCUCUCACACAGCCCCUAGGGGACUGCCCUAGAUGCGGAUCUUGACGAUAGUAGCAAAUAAUAGCAGGAAAGUAGAAGGAUUUUGAAGGUCAGACUGAGAAAGUCUUCUUCGUGAACGGAAGUUGAACUGGGGAAGGACUCUGUCUCUCUUCCUAUUAAACAGGAUCUUACUCAGGCUGAAGUGCAGUGGCACAGUCUCAGCUCACUGCAGCCUCAAACUCCCAGGCUCAAGUGAUCCUCCCACCUCAGCCUUUGUGCUGAAAGUACAUAGAAAUACUGUGUUUUCUAUGUAUUACUAUAACAGUAAUGGAAUUUUACAGAUCGAGUCUCGCUCUGUUGCCCAGGCUAGAGCGCAGUGGUGCAAUUUUGGCUUACUGCAAUCUCUACCUCCCUGUUUCAAGUGAUUCUCCUGCCUCAGCCUCCUGAAUAGUUGGGACUACGGGCGCCUGUCACCACCCUGGCUAAUUUUUGUAUUUUUAAUAGAGACAGAGUUUCACCAUAUCGUCCACGGUGUUCUCAAACUACUGACCUUGUGAUCCACCUGCCUCAGCUUUUCAAAGUGCUGGGAUUACAGGGGUGACCCACCGCUCCUGGUGCAAGAUUGUUUUAAGGAUUAAAUGGCAUUCAUUCUUUCAGUCCUAUCUCUACUGAGAAUUUUUUUCCUUGACCUUCCUUAUCCUGCAUUAUCAUUAUUUUUCAAAGCACAUUUGCUUAUCUAUUGUUUAUUGUGUAUUUAUUUAUUAUUGGUCUCCUACCACUAGCAUAUAUGUUUCUUGAGAGCAGGGAAUUGGUCGUUCACGGAUGUAUCUUUAGAGUCUAUAAUUGUGUCUGAUCCUAGCAGGCAUUGAUGACACAGUUCUUGAAUGAAUUUGUUGAGUGAAUGAUUGAGGUGUUUUUCCAUCAUUGCUGUGCCUGUGUAAAAAGGAAGUGUUUGAUUUUUCAUCAGUCGUCUUGCCCCCUUAAUCUCUAUCAGAUAUCUUCUGUGUAAACGGUCGGUCUUGCUUGGUAAAAUUUGUAGUUUCAUUUUUCUGUCCAAAUGAACAGAAUCCCUCAAGUUAAAUAGACAAUGUGAAUAUGUAAUGCGUGAGGAAUAUUUGAAAGCACUGUAAUACUCAAUCAUAACUGUGGUGCAAACUAAAAAAAACAUAGUGAGAUCUCUUCUUAAAAAAUGCAAUUGAAAAUAUAAUAGCCAGUUUUGAUGAUAUUUCUGAGGGGGUGGACAUUCCUAUAUAGGGCUUCUGGGAGGGUAAAUGGAAAUAAUUUUUUAGAAAGGAAAUUUUACAAUAUAUAUUAAAAGCCUUUAAAAUGUCUUCACUGAGUGGUUUAGUAAAACAAUUUGAAAAUCCCAUAAUGGGUUAUGCUUUAUCUAUAAAAAUGAUGUUUAUGAAUGCUUGCUUAUCACAUGGGAAAUUGUUUUGUAACCAGAACUUUCUGCGAGAAGAAAAACAAAGCAGGUAUAUACAUAACAAUUAGGCCUCCCUUGUAUGACAGACAUCUGCAUAGAAAAUACUGACAGUGACGAGCACCACAAUGUUAUGACGGAUAACUGCAAUCCCAGGGGCAAUCUCUUGCAUUUCUCUAUUAAGAAAAUUAAGUGUUGGCUGGGUGUGAUGGCUCACACCUGUAAUCCCAACACUUUGGGAGGGUGAGGGGGGUAGAUCACGAGGUCAGGAGUUUAAGAGCAGCCUGACCAAGAUGGUGA